AAGAAUGCAAAGCUUAUUUUGAGGUAAAUGUGUUGUAAGAAAGAAAUGAUGAGAUUAUGUAAGAACAGCAAAGAAUCUUAAAUGUAAGAGAUGGAUGCAAUGUAUAUGAUCUAAAAUGAAUCAUAUUACUUGUGAAUGUUUAGUUUUCCUUUCUUUCACUGAUGGCUAUUGCUUACCCUCGCGUAAGCCGUUUGUGUAUGUUUCCGCUAGUGCUUUUCUCUAUUGAUGAAAAUGUACAUGUGAUGAGCCUUGGGCGGAUAGGGGAAACUCUGUCCGUCCGGCGUCUGUUUGACGUGCUCGGGUCGGGCCAAAUUGGCAGCGGUCCCGGGGCGUGACAG
rnacentral:lncRNA from 1 species